UUGGCAAUAAAAGGGCAUUUAAAGUAAAACCUACAGAACAACAAUGAACAAUGAACUUCACUGCAAGUCUCCCACAAAUGAGCCGAGUAACCAGAGACGCUGGCUGUUGUGGAAGUGUGUGAUGGUUGACUGUCUAUUCUUACUUCAGAGCUUAUGACUGACCUGUUAAUGUCAGAGACCUGGCAUUGUUUACAUACCUGAACGCACACUCGGACAAGUGAAGUUCCAGCACAAGAUUGGGUUUGGUAGCCUUGAAGAGGCUUAAGUAAAGAUGUGGGUUGCCCAGUUACUGGAGCUACAGAUGAAGGAGUCGACUGUAAGCCCUGUUGUUUGGUCGGUUUCUUCCCUAUAUGAUCCAGAGUUUCCUGCAGCCAAGGCAUCUAGUCAGACGAGAUAUCGAUGUUGGUCUUUUUAUCUAAAGGUUGACUUUUUAUGUAAAUGGGAAAUUUAUGACUAUAUAUUCCAAUAUUUACCAAUUUUUAAGCAACGUCUUGUGCUCAGCUGAUGCGUUCUAAAAUGCAAUCCCACCACCACUAAUUUUCUGAGCUUUCAAGCUUGACUCUCAGCUCUCAACAGAAUUGGCCGUGACUGACGAACAGAACUUGUGACUGUGUUUCUCCUUAUUGCCCCUGCAAUGAUUGGAUCUCUGCUGUCUGGUUGAGGUGCCUCCAUGAGUAGGACUGAGUUCAUAUAAGGCACUAUAGCGUGACUUUCCGUUACGUGGUGUGACAUUGUGUAAGAAUCCACCACUGGCUGGUGUAAAGAAGCAGCUACGUACAAGCCAGAGAGGGUAGGUUAGGUGCUAGGCUCUUCUUGGCCAACGUGGGGGUGGUGCAAGUGGCGGAGGAAUUGCAAUAGGCAAAUGGAAAUUUCUAGAUAGGGAUAAAAGGGGGAAAAGCUUCCAUUAAAAUUACUUGUGAUCUAAAAUGAUUUUAUAAUUUAAUGUGUGGAUGGUUUAUCAUAAAUGAACUUUAAAAUCUGUCUGACUUUUUAUCCUAAAAUGUAUCAUGUUGCAAUUCUCAUGUAUGGGGCUUAUAGUAUAGAAUUUAAGACUGCUGUAGUUUUAGCCUACUACAGAUUUAGAUUUAUUAUUUUAUAAUGCUACAUUGCCUCUCCUGGUUAAACUGGU